rnacentral:lncRNA from 1 species
GUCAAGCCAUGGUGGUGAGCAAUGCUAUUAGUUUUCUCGCCUUUCUCAUGUCUGUGAAUAAUAUCCAGCUCCACUUCGAGACUAACAUCCGGUUCCUGAAUUACUUUUUGGUCCGUUAGGCAGCCAACCAAGCAAUUUGUGUCCUGUGCCGUUCCAGAAUGCCUUUUUCCAUCUGUUUUUUGUCCGCUAGUGGACCAAAGAUUGGAACUUUGGUCGAGGGGUUUUGCAAAACAUUGGUCAAGUGUCCGGGCGACCAAAACUACCGCCUUGUAUUUUAAAUUUCCAAAUGUAAAAAGAAGCUAACUGUAAUUAAAUUUAUUUCAGUCUAUUUACCAUGUCAAAUUUUUUUGAUGGUACAACAAAGCUUUUCUUAUGCUAUAUUGAGCAUACGUUUUAAUUUUUGAAGUCUACUGUAGUCGCCUUGUGAGUUCACGUCAAACAUCAACAACAGCCUAAUCGACUCGUCACAUCUCUACUUCACUGACUAAAUUUGGUACCAUGGCUGCAUUAGAAGAAAUCAUAGAUGAAGAAAUGUAUGAAAUGGAAGAAUUGCGACGAGUGAGGAUUCCACGCAUAUAUAAGAUCUUAUGGUGUAUAAUGUAGGUAUUGCAAAGUACAAAUAGUAUGUAAGAAUGAAUAAACUUAACCAUCUACU